AAUGUGGAUCUUCCAAAUUUUGCUUCGAGAAUCAAUUGGAGGGCAAGUCUGGUGCCAGCAGCCGCGGUAAUUCCAGCUCCAAUAGCGUAUAUUAAAGUUGUUGCAGUUAAAAAGCUCGUAGUUGUUAGGGUUGGGAAAUUUGAAGAAUCUUCACUGGUCUUCAGACUUCCUAAAAGCUGUUUCAAUCGGCUUUGUGUUACUUUGAGAAAAUUUGAGUGUUCAUCUCGGGCAAAUUGCUUACAUAAUGUACCAUGGAAUAACUCUGUGGCCCUAAUUCUGUCUUUUGGCUUACAUUAUUGGGGUUCGUGGUUGAAAGGAAUAGUUGGGGGCAUUCGUACUGAACAGUUAGAGGUGAAAUUCUUAGAUUUGUUCAAGACGAACCAGUGCGAAAGCAUCUGCCAAGGAUGUUUUCAUUAAUCAAGAACGAAAGUUAGGGGAUCGAAGACGAUCAGAUACCGUCGUAGUCUUAACUGUAAACAAUGCCGACUAGAGAUCGGUGGAAUUCGAAUUGGAAUCCUUCGGCAUCUACAGAGAAAUCAAAGUUCUUGGGUUCUGGGGAGUAUGGUCGCAAGGCUGAAACUUAAAGGAAUUGACGGAAGGGCACCACCAGGAGUGGAGCCUGCGGCUUAAUUUGACCCAACACGGGAAAACUUACCAGGUCCGGACAUAGGUAUGAUUGACAGACUGAGAGCUCUUUCUUGAUUCUAUGGGUGGUGGUGCAUGGCCGUUCUUAGUUGGUGGAUUGAUUUGUCUGGUUGAUUCCGACAACGAACGAGACCUUUACUUUCUAAUUAGAUCCAAGACAUACGUGUUUCCUGGGUCGCCUUAGCAGAACUUUGUGCGUUGCAGCACAAUGAAGCACAGGCAAUAACAGGUCUGUGAUGCCCUUAGAUGUUCUGGCUGCACGCGUGCUACAAUGAAACUUACCAUAAGUUGCGAUGUCGAAAAGCUAUGCAAAUCUUUGAAUGCGUUUCGUGACAGGGACAGUUGGUUGUAAUUUUUCGACUCGAACGAGGAAUUCCUUGUAAUCGUGAUUCAUCAUAUCGCGCUGAAUACGUCCCUGCCCUUUGUACACACCGCCCGUCGCUCCUACCGAUUGGGCGAUCCGGUGAAUUAUUUGGAGUUUUGACGAUUUCUUUCGGAAACCUGCCAAUUCAAAUUUUUGU
rnacentral:rRNA from 1 species